rnacentral:rRNA from 1 species
CCUACGGGAUGCAGCAGUGAGGAAUAUUGGUCAAUGGGCGGAAGCCUGAACCAGCCAAGUAGCGUGCAGGAUGACGGCCCUACGGGUUGUAAACUGCUUUUAUACGGGAAUAACGCGCCUUACGUGUAGGGCUUUGCAUGUACCGUAUGAAUAAGGAGCGGCUAAUACCGUUCCAGCAGCCGCGGUAAUACGGAAGGUCCGGGCGUUGUCCGGAUUUCUUGGGUUUAAAGGGGGCGUAGGCCGCAUGUCAAGCGUGCUGUGAAAUGGCCGGGCUCAACCCGGGCCUUGCAGCGCGAACGGGCGUGCUUGAGUCCGCGGAAAGUAGGCGGAAUGCGUGGUGUAGCGGUGAAAUGCUUAGAUAUGACGAAGAACCCCGAUUGCGAAGGCAGCUUGCUGCAGCGGAACUGACGCUGAUGCUCGAAAGCGCGGGUAUCGAACAGGAUUAGAUACCCGGGUAGUC